rnacentral:rRNA from 1 species
GGCGGACGGGUGAGUAACGCGUAGGGAUCUACCUUCUGGUGGGGGAUAGCCCGGAGAAAUCCGGAUUAAUACCGCAUAAGACCUAAGGGUGAAAAGGGGCCAAUUCUUGAAAGCUCUUGCCGGAAGAUGAACCUGCGUUAGAUUAGCUAGUUGGUGGGGUAAUGGCCUACCAAGGCGACGAUCUAUAGCUGGUCUGAGAGGAUGAUCAGCCACACUGGAACUGAGGCACGGUCCAG